rnacentral:rRNA from 1 species
UGGGGAAUAUUGGACAAUGGGCGAAAGCCUGAUCCAGCAACGCCGCGUGAGUGAUGAAGGCCUUCGGGUUGUAAAGCUCUUUCAGUUGGGAAGAUAAUGACGGUACCAACAGAAGAAGCUCCGGCUAACUUCGUGCCAGCAGCCGCGGUAAUACGAAGGGAGCUAGCGUUACUCGGAAUUAUUGGGCGUAAAGCGUGCGUAGGCGGUUUUAUAAGUCUGAAGUGAAAGCCUGGGGCUCAACCCCAGAACUGCUUCAGAUACUGUAAAACUCGAGUGUCAGAGGGGAUAGCGGAAUUCCUAGUGUAGAGGUGAAAUUCGUAGAUAUUAGGAGGAACACCGGUGGCGAAGGCGGCUAUCUGGCUGAAUACUGACGCUGUUGCACGAAAGCGUGGGGAGCAAACAGGAUUAGAUACCCUAGUAGUCCCUGAGCGGGCUGGCAAGGCGCAU